CACGUAGGGGACGAGCGUUGUCCGGAUUUAUUGGGCCUAAAGCAUCCGUAGCCGGUUCUACAAGUCUUCCGUUAAAUCCAACUGCUUAACAGGUGGGCUGCGGAAGAUACUAUAGAGCUAGGAGGCGGGAGAGGCAAGCGGUACUCGAUGGGUAGGGGUAAAAUCCGUUGAUCCAUUGAAGACCACCAGUGGCGAAGGCGGCUUGCCAGAACGCGCUCGACGGUGAGGGAUGAAAGCUGGGGGAGCAAACCGG
rnacentral:rRNA from 1 species